rnacentral:rRNA from 1 species
GACGAACGCUGGCGGCGUGCUUAACACAUGCAAGUCGAACGGAAAGGCCCUGCUUUUGUUGGGUGCUCGAGUGGCGAACGGGUGAGUAACACGUGAGUAAUCUGCCCUUGACUUUGGGAUAACUUCAGGAAACUGGGGCUAAUACCGGAUAGGAGCUCCUGCUGCAUGGUGGUGGUUGGAAAGUUUCGGCGGUUGGGGAUGGACUCGCGGCUUAUCAGCUUGUUGGUGGGGUAGUGGCUUACCAAGGUUUUGACGUGUAGGGGGCCUGAGAGGGUGAGGGGCCACAGUGGGAGUGAGAUACGGCCGAGACUCCUACGGGGGGCAGCAGGGGGGAAUAUUGCAAAAUGGGCGGAAGCCUGAUGCAGCAACGCCGCGUGCGGGAUGACGGCCUGCGGGGUGUAAACCUCUCGCGCCGGUGACGAAGCGUGAGUGACGGUAAUGGGUAAAGAAGCACCGGCUAACUACGUG